GCCAGGAAAUGCACGCCAGCCUUCUUCUUUCCUCCUCCCCUUCUUGCUAUCUAUCAGUCCUCUCACCAUCCCAAGCCUCUCUCAUACCCUCCUUCUAUCCCUUCAUCCGCUCACUCUGUGUGGAUAGAUCAGAUGGUGCACCGUAAGGAGAUAAAGCUGCCAGCAUGAUCUGAUCUUUCCCCUCAUAAGAAGCCAAUCAGAUCAUCUGGCAGUUUCAUCUGCUGAUGGGAGCACGUGAAACGCAGGAGCUUAGCUAUAUAUCGAUCAGGUUUGGUUUUCCUAGUCCCUUUGACUCUUCUGUUGUUACUGCUGAUGUUGCUGCUUGUGAUAUGAGAGAGGAGAGGAGAGGAGAGGAGAUGGGAGAGAGAGCGAGAGAGUUUAUUAGGUAUCGGAGUGGAUGGCAAAAUCUGGACAUGGAGGUGAUCAAUCUUGACAACAUAUAUAUCCCUCGCUGUGAUGAUGGUUGUCCAAACUGGAUAUAUUUAACAAGAACAUCUUUCUCAAAGCUGGGUGUAUGUUGUUUUCUCCAGCAUAUGUAUCUUGAUACACAUGUCACACAUUGUGUCUUGGUCUUGUUGCAGCUGCUCCUGUUGAAGGUGCUUCUCAAUGUGAGCAUUAGGUGACAAAUACAACCCCUUAAUUGAUUUGAGUUUGUAAUCUCGGUUUCUUUUAGCUCCCAACUUGUACUACAUAUUUUCUCAUCUUGUCCUCACUACUUCAUUUUGGUCUUUCCAUGCAGCUUCAACUUUAGGGUUCUUUUCUCUAUCAACAAAUUUAUGCAGGAUCUUAGGAGUUAAUAUCUUUUUAUCAAUUUAUAUUUGACACUCUGACCAAAACAGAUUUGCAUCUUCUGCAAUAUGGUUCAGUGUCAGCUUGGUCAAUUGGAGAAAUAAUUUGGAGUGUAGAUAUAUACCCAGAGAAUUUAUCUGGAUGUAUGAAACAUGGGGAAGGACUGCUGAUGAAAGUUCUAGAGAAGACCUGAAUUGAAAUUGAUUAUGGUUAGGACAUGUUAAUAUGGCAUGCAAAAUCUCAUCAAAACAAUACUGCCAAGUGAUUGCUGAUGAAUGUCCCCUUUUUCUCAUUUAAGGAUCUUGAAUUCUGGAGGUCUUCUUGAUGCAUUUAAGUUUCUUCUUUUUUUUUUUGUUUCUUGAUUCUUGUCUUUGUUCUUAGUUCAAUUGCAUCUUCUUUUUUUUCC